AUCUAAUCAUCAGGAAACAUCAGACAAAUUUGAAUUGAGGGACAUUUUGCAAAAUAACCUGCCUGUAAUCUUCAAAUGUGUCAGAAUCUUCAAACAUGUCAUGAAAGUUGCAUACUGCUUAUCUAGGAGAAUCUCUUUGUUUGUAGAAAUACACAUCAAAAUUGGAAGAGAAAAGGAAAUUGGGAAGAAAAGGAGGAAGGAAGGAAAUAAUAUAGAGAAUGGAAUACUGCACAAUAAUGAAACUGAAUGAACUAAAGAGGCAGAUGGACCCUCACCCAAAAUUUGAGCAGGAUGCCCAAACUGAUGAUGCCAUGCACACACCGA